rnacentral:lncRNA from 1 species
CCGGCUCAAAAGAACGAUUCGUUCAAGAAACUAACAUCACUAUUCUCAUUACAUAAAACAAAAAUGCAGCACUUUAGGACACAAAGAACAAAAAAGAGCUUGGGAAUACGAAAUAUUUAAUGUAACAAUGGAAACCAAACCUGUGUUGUUUGGCAUAUGGAGGUCUUAAGUUCACCACAGGUGCACGUGCUGCGUCUGAGCCACUACUGCAGAUUUUCCCUGUGAAAACAUUAUCGGCCGUCUCGCCUGUUCUGUUGACUCGCGGGGAGCGGCAGUGGUCAAAGGUGUGGUUAACGGCUUAGCUCGUCAUCCCAAGCGCUUGGUCACACACUCCUCAAAGUGGCAUCGCCUGAAGGGCACUGAUAACACACAUUCUGCACUUCUAUUGGUUGAUGUCCAGAAAACCAGCAAUCUCACAUGGAAGAAUCUGUACAUUAGAGGAAAGGCUUCUCAUUAUGGACACACGGUUCAUGCCUGCACAUCAGAGCACAGGCCCUCUGCCCCUCUCUAACCCACCUUGGGUCAGCCAGAACCAGGGGCCAGUGUUGCCCUUUGG